UAAAGGUUUGGUCCUGACUUUACUAUCAACUUUAGCUAAACUUACACAUGCAAGUAUCCGCACCCCUGUGAGAAUGCCCUACAGUUCCCUGCUCGGGAACAAGGAGCCGGUAUCAGGCACACCCCAAAUACAAGCCCAUGACACCUUGCUUAGCCACACCCCCAAGGGAACUCAGCAGUGAUAAACAUUAAGCCAUAAGUGAAAACUUGACUUAGUUAAAGCUAAGAGGGUCGGUAAAACUCGUGCCAGCCACCGCGGUUAUACGAGAGACCCAAGUUGUUAGACACCGGCGUAAAGAGUGGUUAAGAUACCCCCCCCAACUAAAGCCGAACGCCCUCAGAGCUGUUAUACGCAUCCGAAGGUAAGAAGCCCGACCACGAAAGUGGCUUUAUAUUGUCCGAACCCACGAAAGCUAUGACACAAACUAGGAUUAGAUACCCU
rnacentral:rRNA from 1 species